GAUGGAAUGGCUGAUAAAGGUGAUAAAUUGUAAAUUUAUUUAUGAGGGUUUCUCUUCCAUCA
rnacentral:tRNA from 1 species